GAUGAAGAACGCAGCGAAAUGCGAUAAGUAAUGUGAAUUGCAGAAUUCAGUGAAUCAUCGAAUCUUUGAACGCACAUUGCGCCCGCCAGUAUUCUGGCGGGCAUGCCUGUUCGAGCGUCAUUACAACCCUCAGGCCCCGGGCCUGGCGUUGGGGAUCGGCGGAGCCCCCCGUGGGCACACGCCGUCCCCCAAAUACAGUGGCGGUCCCGCCGCAGCUUCCAUCGCGUAGUAGCUAACACCUCGCGACUGGAGAGCGGCGCGGCCACGCCGUAAAACACCCAACUCUUCUGAAGUUGACCUCGAAUCAGGUAGGAAUACCCGCUGAACUUAAGCAUAUCAAUAAGCGGAGGA
rnacentral:misc_RNA from 1 species